rnacentral:rRNA from 1 species
GACGUAGGGCGCGAGCGUUGUCCGGAUUUAUUGGGCGUAAAGAGCUCGUAGGCGGUCUGUCGCGUCGGCUGUGAAAUCUCGGGGCUCAACCCCGAGCCUGCAGUCGAUACGGGCAGACUAGAGUGCUGUAGGGGAGACUGGAAUUCCUGGUGUAGCGGUGAAAUGCGCAGAUAUCAGGAGGAACACCGGUGGCGAAGGCGGGUCUCUGGGCAGUAACUGACGCUGAGGAGCGAAAGCGUGGGGAGCGAACAGG